GGCUAUGUAGUUUAUUUAAGACGUCAGGCUGCAAUCCUGAAGAUGUGGUUUAUACCUUAGCUU
rnacentral:tRNA from 1 species